rnacentral:rRNA from 1 species
GAUGAACGCUGGCGGCGUGCCUAGUACAUGCAAGUCGAGCGAACGGACGCGAAGCUUGCUUCUCUGAUGUUAGCGGCAGACGGGUGAGUAACACGUGGAUAACCUACCUAUAAGACUGGUAUAACUUCGGGACACCGGAGCUAAUACCGGAUAAUAUUCUGAACCGCAUGGUUCAAAAGUGAAAGACGGCCUUUCUGUCACUUAUAGAUAGAUCCGCGCUGCAUUAGCUAGUUGGUAAGGUAACGGCUUACCAAGGCAACGAUGCAUAGCCGACCUGAGAGGGUGAUCGGCCACACUGGAACUGAGACGCGGUCCAGACUCCUACGGGAGGCAGCAGUAGGGAAUCUUCCGCAAUGGGCGAAAGCCUGACGGAGCAACGCCGCGUGAGUGAUGAAGGUCUUCGGUUCGUAAAACUCUGUUAUUAGGGAAGAACAUAUGUGUAAGCAACUGUGCACAUCUUGACGGUACCUAAUCAGAAAGCCACGGCUAACUACGUG